rnacentral:lncRNA from 1 species
UCCUGUCCACCAUCCUCCUUUAUGUUUUAUCUUCAGUCCCCAUUCCUUCGGCUAUUUUUCAUAAAUUAGACAGGGAGUUUAGAGCCUUUCUUUGGGGACAUACUUUUGAUCAUUGGGGUUUUCACCCUUUAGCAUGAGAAAUUGUAUGUUUGUCUAAAAUGCGGCAACGUUUGGGCCUCUCUUCUUUGAUACAUGGAAGGUAUAAUAUGCUUUACAAAUUAACUGCUUAGGUGGUGC